rnacentral:rRNA from 1 species
CAGUAGCCGCGGGAAUACGAAGGGUGCAAGCGUUACUCGGAAUUACUGGGCGUAAAGCGUGCGUAGGUGGUGGUUUAAGUCCGUUGUGAAAGCCCUGGGCUCAACCAGGGAAUUGCAGUGGAUACUGGAUCACUAGAGUGUGGUAGAGGAUAGUGGAAUUUCCGGUGUAGCAGUGAAAUGCGUAGAGAUCGGAAGGAACAUCUGUGGCGAAGGCGACUAUCUGGGCCAACACUGACACUGAGGCACGAAAGCGUGGGGAGCAAACAGGAUUAGAUACCCCUGUAGUCCCUGUCUCUUAUAC